UACGGAGGAUGCAAGCGUUAUCCGGAAUGAUUGGGCGUAAAGCGUUUUAAGGUGGUUUUGGUAAGUCUACUGUUAAAUAUCAGGGCUUAACCCUGAACAGGCAGUGGAAACUAGCAAGCUGGAGUACGGUAGGGGCAGAGGGAAUUCCCGGUGUAGCGGUGAAAUGCGUAGAGAUCCGGAAGAACACCAGUGGCGAAGGCGGCCCGCUGGGCAGUGGCUGACGCUGAGGCGCGACAGCGUGGGGAGCAAACGAG
rnacentral:rRNA from 1 species